ensembl:misc_RNA
ACUAAAGCUCUGGAAAGUGAGGUCCUUUUUCUGUCCAUUAAUCAGGGACAGAAUGGAUAGAAAAGCACAAGCUUCACCAGCAAGGCUGCACGCUGCUCUCCCAAUAUGCCUCAGCCCAGAACUGGGUAUGCCCUUUCCCAUGUGACAGGAUAGUUUUGUUUCCUUGUCCAUUUGUUUCUUGACAUCU